rnacentral:rRNA from 1 species
GAUGAACGCUGGCGGCGUGCUUAACACAUGCAAGUCGAACGAUGAAGCCCAGCUUGCUGGGUGGAUUAGUGGCGAACGGGUGAGUAACACGUGAGCAACCUGCCCCUGACUCUGGGAUAAGCGCUGGAAACGGCGUCUAAUACUGGAUAUGUCCCGUCACCGCAUGGUGUGCGGGUGGAAAGAUUUUUCGGUUGGGGAUGGGCUCGCGGCCUAUCAGCUUGUUGGUGAGGUAAUGGCUCGCCAAGGCGUCGACGGGUAGCCGGCCUGAGAGGGUGACCGGCCACACUGGGACUGAGACACGGCCCAGACUCCUACGGGAGGCAGCAGUGGGGAAUAUUGCACAAUGGGCGAAAGCCUGAUGCAGCAACGCCGCGUGAGGGAUGACGGCCUUCGGGUUGUAAACCUCUUUUAGCAGGGAAGAAGCGAAAGUGACGGUACCUGCAGAAAAAGCACCGGCUAACUACGUGCCAGCAGCCGCCGUAAGAC